CAGACACCAGAGGAUCAUGUGUCCUGUGCUUGCAAGGCUCAUGACAAUAGUGCAGAGCUGUGUAGACUCCAUGCUUCAGUCAGAGAUGCUGGACUGAGAGAACU